ACUCCUACGGGAGGCAGCAGUGGGGAAUAUUGCACAAUGGGCGCAAGCCUGAUGCAGCCAUGCCGCGUGUAUGAAGAAGGCCUUCGGGUUGUAAAGUACUUUCAGCAGUGAGGAAGGUGGGUGUGUUUAAUAGCGAUACUCAUUUGACGUUAGCUGCAGAAGAAGCACCGGCUAACUCCGUGCCAGCAGCCGCGGUAAUACGGAGGGUGCGAGCGUUAAUCGGAAUUACUGGGCGUAAAGCGCAUGCAGGUGGUUUGUUAAGUCAGAUGUGAAAGCCC
rnacentral:rRNA from 1 species